rnacentral:rRNA from 1 species
AUUGAACGCUGGCGGCAUGCCUUACACAUGCAAGUCGAACGGCAGCAUGAUCUAGCUUGCUAGAUUGAUGGCGAGUGGUGAACGGGUGAGUAAUACAUCGGAACGUGUCCUGUUGCGGGGGAUAACUCGUCGAAAGAUUAGCUAAUACAGCAUACGCCCCGAGGGUGAAAGUGGGGGACCGCUAGGCCUCAUGCUCUAGGAGCGGCCGAUGUCUGAUUAGCUAGUUGGUGGGGUAAAGGCCCACCAAGGCGACGAUCAGUAGCUGGUCUGAGAGGACGAUCAGCCACACUGGGACUGAGACACGGCCCAGACUCCUACGGGAGGCAGCAGUGGGGAAUUUUGGACAAUGGGGGCAACCCUGAUCCAGCAAUGCCACGUGUGUGAAGAAGGCCUUCGGGUUGUAAAGCACUUUUGUCCGGAAAGAAAACGCACAUACUAAUAUUAGGUGUGGAUGACGGUACCGGAAGAAUAAGGACCGGCUAACUACGUG